AUUGAACGCUGGCGGCAGGCCUAACACAUGCAAGUCGAGCGGAUGAAAGGAGCUUGCUCCUGGAUUCAGCGGCGGACGGGUGAGUAAUGCCUAGGAAUCUGCCUGGUAGUGGGGGACAACGUUUCGAAAGGAACGCUAAUACCGCAUACGUCCUACGGGAGAAAGCAGGGGACCUUCGGGCCUUGCGCUAUCAGAUGAGCCUAGGUCGGAUUAGCUAGUUGGUGAGGUAAUGGCUCACGAAGGCGACGAUCCGUAACUGGUCUGAGAGGAUGAUCAGUCACACUGGAACUGAGACACGGUCCAGACUCCUACGGGAGGCAGCAGUGGGGAAUAUUGGACAAUGGGCGAAAGCCUGAUCCAGCCAUGCCGCGUGUGUGAAGAAGGUCUUCGGAUUGUAAAGCACUUUAAGUUGGGAGGAAGGGUUGUAGAUUAAUACUCUGCGAUUUUGACGUUACCGACAGAAUAAGCACCGGCUAACUCUGUGCCAGCCGCCGCAGUAACAC
rnacentral:rRNA from 1 species